rnacentral:rRNA from 1 species
GACGAACGCUGGCGGCGUGCCUAAUACAUGCAAGUUGAGCGAUGAAGAUUGGUGCUUGCACCAAUUUGAAGAGCAGCGAACGGGUGAGUAACGCGUGGGGAAUCUGCCUUUGAGCGGGGGACAACAUUUGGAAACGAAUGCUAAUACCGCAUAACAACUUUAAACAUAAGUUUUAAGUUUGAAAGAUGCAAUUGCAUCACUCAAAGAUGAUCCCGCGUUGCAUUAGCUAGUUGGUGAGGUAAAGGCUCACCAAGGCGAUGAUACAUAGCCGACCUGAGAGGGUGAUCGGCCACAUUGGGACUGAGACACGGCCCAAACUCCUACGGGAGGCAGCAGUAGGGAAUCUUCGGCGAUGGACGAAAGUCUGACCGAGCAACGCCGCGUGAGUGAAGAAGGUUUUCGGAUCGUAAAACUCUGUUGGUAGAGAAGAACGUUGGUGAGAGUGGAAAGCUCAUCAAGUGACGGUAACUACCCAGAAAGGGACGGCUAACUACGUG